GGCCAUGAGAUUGGGUCUAAUGGUAUGGAUGGAAAAUCUGGAUUUAUUUCAUAAAUUCGAAGGGAAGAGCAGUAGCUUCUUUGAACACAUUUUCCCAUAAUGCAAACAUAAUGUCACAUCCAAUUUGGAUGAUGAGACUAUAACCUACUCGUGUUCCACAUGUGAUCGAGGUUGAGAAGCCAACUUUGCAAAUGUAUGGUCUUCUAAAAGGGUUUUUGGGCGCUUGUUUAUGUCAACUAUGUGGAUGCUGCUAUUUUCUGACUAAACGAGCAAGGUAACCAAGCUGAGAGAGACAUGUUGAUUUGGACUUGCCCCAAUUGUAGGGAUUUUUGGAUUUUCUCUUCAUAUGUUAUUCAAAAGUCGAGCUGAGUGAAGUGUACCAUUGCACUUGUGUGUAUGUGUUUACCAUGCUGAAGUGGGUAAAUGAAUUUUAAUUGGCAUACAAAUUUCAUUUUAAAUGUCCUCACGUUAUGCUCAGGGACAAAAUAGAAGAUUUAUUGAAGAGACAAUUAAGGUGUUUGAGCUGAGGAGAUUCCCACUGAUUUGGACUUGCAGGAGUGUGCCUCAGAUGGGUUGACUAUGAUAUCCACGUUUGCUUCGCAGCUAGCUGUGUUACAGUUCAAAAAUGACUAUGCGUCGGCAUGUUAGGUGCUACAUUGUUUUCCCCAUUCUGAAUAUUCCACUUUUCUCAAACUGUGUUAUAUGCAAUCAAAAUAUUUUGUUCAUGCCAUGUCAUUGUUUCGCAUUUCACUUUUGCUUAUCACCCGUUGAGAUGGAGGAUAGUGUAGCUGGGUAGGAGGAGCAAUGGAUAGCCAAAAAAUAUCGCUUCAAGUGAAAUGAGCAGUCCUUUGUAUUUCAGCCAUUGUGUUAUUUCCUUCCGCCCAGUCUGUUUCACCUUUUAGGUGCCUCAUAUUUAUUUGCAGUCACUGCUAAGAAGGCAGCAGUUUAAACUGAAGCAGUGAACAAGGUAAGAUUUAGGCUUUGGUUCAGGUUUGCGCUACUACCCCAUGUUCCAAAAUAAGUAUCACAACUUCUUCUAGAUACAUCGACACUUAUUUUGGAAUGGAGGGAAUAAAUUGGAAACCACCCGGUUCUUAUUAUCAAUGGAUGAAUCUACUUCGGUGUACAGCACAGAUUGUGGAGGUCUAUAUUCAAGUUGUUAUCCAUGGUCUAAGAAAAUUUACAUGUAAUU